rnacentral:misc_RNA from 1 species
UAACUUUGCCUUACAUUUCACGCUCUCCUUCCCAUCUUCUUCCUUCAUUCCCAGUCAGAGGAUUGCCAUCGAAACAAGCCCUAUUUGCUCGCCUCUACGAGCUUCUGCAACACUAGAGAAUUGGUGUGGGAGAUCAAGAUAGCUGUUAAAAUGAUAAUAGGUUUUUUAAAUAAUAAAAAUGUUAAAUAUUUCAAAAAUUAAUCAGAAAAAUUAGAAAAAGAGUCCCUAAAUUUGGUUUGUAAAACCCUAAAUCUACUUCAGCAACUACAUCGUUUAUGUUUGCCUCAAAUUCAAUUCACCAACUCAAUAAACUAAAUCCUCAAAUAUGGCCAAAGAUAACAAUGUAAUGAAGUGGAUGAGGCCCUUCCCGAUGCAAUCGACACUCUUUAUCGCCAUCUUCUUGAGCUUUCUCCAUUCAAUUGUUCCAUUUAUUUCUCUACAUUUAUGUGUUUAAUUGUGUUUGAGUUAGGGAUUUUGACUUGAGCUUUUGACCAAGUUUAGUUAUUUUGAUUGCUAUAUUUUUUUAUUGUGCUAAAUUUUCUAAUUAAAUGAAUUAAAAAAAAAUGAAAUGUUUAAAUUUUUUAUUAGUUAAAAAUACUAAGAAAAUAUUAUCUUUUAUUAUUAUUUUCAGACAAUUGGAUUAAAUUGACCCCAAAAUAAUAGUUGCAUUAUAAUUAGAUCAAAAGUUAAUUUUGGGCCUAUUAAACAUUGAUUAAAAGUUCAACGGCCAAAUUGACCUCUAUUCAUAGUAUAUUAGACUAUUGCAAUUGCCAUAGUUCUUGGAAUCACAUGGAUGCAUUUCUUUUGCUUCUUUUUUUAGCCAUCAUUUUUGCAGUUAUGGUUUCUGCUUGUUUGUGGAAUUUAUCUGUUGUAUUUCUGUCUCUAAUGUGAAUUAAUUGUUGUGCACCAGGAAAAAAAAAGAAAAAGAAAGGAAUAUAAAAACUUCAGUUGAUCAUUCAAUUAACUUCCUCUAACUUUAUUUUUCUCCUCUUUAGGUGACUAUACAAAUCCUCAUAGAAGUAGUGGAAAGAUUUGGACCUUACUCCACUAGUUCUAAUGGACAUGGAUCAGUCUGAACCCAAGUACGAGCAUCGUAAAGAGAGGGAUGUUUUAGAUGACUCUUCUAGAAGACAACAUUGGGAUGGAGGGGCAUAUGAUGAAAAUGGCACUGAAAAAUCGAGCAAUUCCAGAGGAGAUAAGGAAUAAGGAUAGGAAGAAAAGCAGCCAUGGAUAAGACAGGGACAGGCAUCAUAGAAACAAGGACAGAGAAGCCUCUAAGAAAACUAGUGGAGAUAUUGCCAAAGAUUUGGAUAACGAGCAAGAUGACUAUGUGGAUAAGGAGGGUGGCAAGGAUAGGAGUAGGGAUAACAGGGCAAAGGAUAAAGACCAUGAUCAGGGAAAAUCUAGAGAUAAGGAGCAUGAGCAUGACAAAGAUAGGAAAAAUCGAGGGAAGGAAACGGAAAGUGAGAGGGAGAGAGAUAUUGAUAAGGAAAGGGGAAGGGAGACGACUAGGGAUAGGGAGAGAGGGAGAGAGAGAAAGAAAAGGAAAGAGUGAAGGAGAGGGAGAGAGAGAAAUAUAAGGAUAGAGAGAAGGAGAGAGAAAUCGAUAAAGGUAGAGAGAGGGAAAAAGCGAGAGAGAAGACUAAGACUAAGGAGAGGGAGAGAGAGAGAGACAGAUCAUGAUUAAGAAAGAUUAGAGAGAGAUAAGAUGAGCAAAAGAAGCCAUGAAGAAGACUAUGAUAGAAGCAAAGAUGAUAUGGUUGAAAUGGGCAUUGGGAAUGGCAAAUAUAUUGAUGGUUUAAAGCAAUCAAAGGUUUCUUUUGAUGAUGAUGAUGAUAAAAAUGUUGAAGGCACAUCUAUUGAAGGAUACUCAUCUACAUUAGAAUUGGAAGAGCGCAUUGUGAAUAAGUAUAAAUGUCCAUUGAUCUUCUAUUCUUUUUUCCCCAUACCUUUUCAAUAUAAAAAUUUUACUGUUAGUUUUUUUUUCUUCUCAUAAUAAAUUGAUGAUGGAUAUGUCUUCCUUGCUUGGAUACUACUAUUACAAGUAGUGGCUAUCUAGUUACUAGUUGCAACCUUUUCAUAGGAAAAAAGAAAGUGCUUGUUGCAUUUGAUGGUUGUCCAUGCUUCAUAUAAAAAGCUUGUUAUCAAUUGCUUAUAAUAAUAACCAUAUAAUUUGCAUGAGAUGACUAAGCAUUUCUAGUGUGUGUGUUUGUUUUUUCUUUUUUUUCACCAUUUCUCUAUUUCUCAUUGUUUAAUUUUGUUAAAAUUUUUAAGUUCAUAUAAGAUUUUGAAAGUUAAUGCAAAAGAGUGUAUGUGUACAUUUGUAAUUGGUAUUAGAAAGAAAGUUUAAAACCAUAUACAAUUAUUUUAGUCUUGUUGAUAUUGAAACAAGUAUCAAAUAUUUAUAAUCUAUAAAUAUACAGAAGUGGAUUUUGAGAGAACUUUUAAAAAGACAUGGGUGACAAAAAAUUUUGAUGUAGACAAAGGACUUCUAAGCAUUAUUAUAUUACAAAAAUUCCCUAAAUAGGCUACAAGUUUUCCUAAUUCUAAUGGUAUUACUGUAAUUGAUUACAGUUUCUUUCACAAAGGAAUAGGAAACUUGCUUUCAUGAUUUGGUUUAAGUAAUGUGAUAUUGAUCUCUGCGCCUUUUUAUUUGUCCAGGAUGAAAGGAUAAAGAAAAAUUCAGAAGUUGGUUUGGAGGUUUUAGGAUGGGCUAAUAGAAGUCAUAAACUUGAGGAGAAAAAGAAUGCUGAAAAGGAGAAAGCUAAGCACCUCUCACAAAUUUUUGAUGAGCAGGUUAUUUAUUCUUAGAAGUGUUUCCUUGUAAUAUGUGUUACCGGCCAUAACUUAUUUUAAUGUGAUUUUAAUUGUUGAUAUUUUGGGACAAUAUUGUUCAAGGAGAGAGUGAAGAGGAGGAGGCAGGUGAGCAUGCUACUCGUAUGAUUUCUUCUCAAUAAUAGCUAGUAUAUAAGAAGUUGAUUUGAAAGCCACAUAGACUUAGAACCACUCAUUUUCAUAUUUUAUUAGAUUAUCCAUGUAGAGCACAAUGCACAAAUGCAAGUGUAGGUGCAAAAGCAUAGUGAGAUAUGGGUCCAGUGCUUUAGGAACCUUCAAGCAUGGCACCUUUAAUAAUACAUUUGCUUUCCACACUUAAGUGUGAGCCUCUUUUGAAGUGCCAGGUGCAAGAGUUAUGUGUUAUUAAAAUUAAUUUAUUUUAUCCUUAAAGAUACUGACUACUGAGGUUCUACUUUGAAAGGGCUAUAAUAUUUAACAUGCACAAAAAUGAUCAAAAUACUAUCCAUAAGACUGCUGGAGCUUGCUUUCUCUUUUCUUUGGCUUUGCAGCUGGUAGGAUUUCCAGCUUUUCUCAAAGCCAAAGCAACUGGUAUUGGAGAUAAGGACACAAGAAAACAAGCCCACUCCAUCCAGAUAGUUAAGCAAGUUUCAAAUUGAAAGCAUCAACUUUACAACCGUAAUUCAAAGAUAUUGACAUUGAUUUAGAUGAAAUAGAUUUAGAAGACAUUGAAGGAUAUCAGACUGUUAGUGAUGAUGAAAAUGUUUUGAGGACUUGGGAGUGAGAAAUAUGAUGAUGACUGGUAGUAUAUUCUAGAAUAUUCAGCUUUAUUCAUGGCAUAAGUAGUUCCUUAUAUUAUUACUGUAUACAGUUUUCAUUUAAUGUGUAUUUGUUAAUACCUUUGAAUUUUUAAUGGUUUCAUGGUUAUAAUUGGUUAGGAUUUGAAAGUAGGAUGUUAGGGAUUAUAAUUUUUCAUACAAUGUUUUAUGGAUGAUUGCAUUAUCUAUUUUCUAAUUAUUGCACUAAUUUUCAACAUAUUAUUUUAUUAACUACUUUUUAGAAAUUCUGCUCCUUGCUUUAAUCAUGUCAGUUCUUUUUUUAGCUCUUUAGUCAAUGGAGAGACGUGUUGCCUUGAAUGCAUGUUUCACUUUUGAUCAACUUCUUGUAGUUGUGUCUGCUUUACUUGUUAAAGAGUCGUUAUGAUAAAUCAAAUGAGCAAACAUAAAUUUUGGGAUGUGUUUAUUGUUGUUAAUGAAUUCAGAUACCUUGUCAUAGCUAAUUUUGGGACUUAGAGAUCAAUAUGGUGGUGCUAAAUUUGGAGUUUGGACUCUAAUUUGAGGUGUGGUUCUUCGGAACUGUCGCUGGGCAGCUCCACAACUGCAAGUGAUUGCAUUAGAGAUUGUAGCAGUCACAAGGAUUUGUUCCUUAAACUUGGGGUCUGACUUGCUGUCACAUACUGAAAACAAGCUUUUCUGUUUCUCCUUUGUUUAGAUGCCCAAGAAACAGAAAGAGUGAAAGACCAACCUAUGGCAGUAAUUAAUGUGUUAAAUUGGUUAUUUGGUUAGGUAGUUCAUCUUAGGCUGUGUUUCUUUGUUCCAUUAUGACCUAUUUUUUAAGUGUAAAAAUUAAUUUGUCACUGCUGAUGUGGUGGAUGUUGAAAAUUUUCGGCUCUGUAAUAAUAUUAAGCCUUAUUUUUAUGAUUUUGGAUUAUUUCCUUGUUUUAACAGAUGACUCCCAAGGAAGCCUUUAGGAUGAUUUCUCAUAAAUUCCAUGGAAAGGGGCCUGGCAAAAUGAAACAAGAAAAGCGCAUGAAGCAAUACCAAGAAGAAUUGAAGUUGAAGCAAAUGAAAAAUUCAGAUACACCAUCACUGUCUGUGGAUCAGAUGAGGAAGCCCAGGUUCAGUUAAAGACACCCUACCUUGUCCUUAGUCAUGUUAAGCCAGGGUUGAGCACUUCUUGGGAAUAAAACGCAAGGUGGAGCAUGGGAAAUAUAACACACAAAAGAAGCCUAAAACAGUUUAUGGAACUUAGAACAGUUACAAGGAGCUGCUUGGAAGUUGUUGCUACUGAUACUUAUUCAAUACCCUUGACCCUGAAAAGUGUGGCAUCCAUUUGUUUGUUCUAUUGGCUGUAAAUAAAAGUUUCAUAAGUCAUAGAAGAGAACCUUCAAAUUUUGUAAGAUGGAUUUGUAGGGUUUUUGGUGGAGAGUGUGAAUGAGAAAUUCUUUGAUAAUUUUGAUGAUUCUUUCGGCUUAGGUAGAGUUUGGUGGCGUGGCCAAUGGAUCGAUCUUGACUGAUUUUGGUGUCGGUCACCUUGGUCAUUAAUUUAAAUUUCAUUUUCUGUAAUUUAAAAAAUAUAAUUAUUUCAUUCACUAUAAUUUUUUUUAAAUAUGUUACGUAACACUUUAUUUGGAUUGAGAAGAAAAGAAGAGAAAGAAAAAGAAAGGAAAGGAAUAAAACUUGGUUGGAAAAAUAGAUUUGACAUGUGGUUGGGAAUUACAGCAAAAAAUUUGAAGUUUUUAUAUAAGAAUGGGGAAAAAAAAGAGGAAAAAGAAACAAAAUGGAAAGAAAAUAAAGAAGAGAAAAGAAAGUUGAAAAUUGUUCAUGGAAAUGUAAAAUCCAAUAAUAUUAUACUUGAUAAAACCUAUGCGGCUAAAUUAGCUGAUUUUGGAUUCGCUACAGUUUAUGAGGUCGAUCCAUUUAUGCCAUUCAACACAAAUGAAGGAAGGUAAGUACCAAAUUAUAUUCAUUUCUCAUUAUCUUUAUUGUCUAAUUCCUAAUUACUAGUGGUCUUAUAAUAUUUGUCGCCAUUGCUAGCAAAAUAAAUUUAAAAAAUGAUUUUGCUUGCUUUUAAACUAACUUUUAAUUAAUUUCUUGUUACAGACAAUAUAUGGCACCCGAGUGUUUAUAUGGAUUUCCUGUAACAGUUCAAGCUGAUGUUUACAACUUUGGGGUGGUCAUGCUUGAAAUUGUUAGUGGGGAAGAGUGUAUGUCUAUGUCAAACCACAAAAUGCAACUUUUAGUACACAAGGCUAUAUCUUUUCACGAAAAGAAAAUGACUUUGGAGUUGAUUGAUAAAAAAUUAAAAAUUCCAAGUGAUGAUCAAGAUCAGGCUAAGGUUAUUUUGGAUCUAGCCAUAAAAUGCAUCAAGCAGACCCCGAUUAUGAGACCUACAAUGUCUUUUAUCGUUAGUGAACUUGAAAGAACCAUUUCAAAGGAGAAAGGAUUCAUGCACGAAAGUAGCUUUGAAAUAGAUACCUGAUGAGGCAAAUUUGGAUGUUUUGUGUAUUUUCAAGAUUGACCACCACAGUUUGCUUAGCAGUUAUGAUUAUAAAUAUCUAAAUUUGAUAUUACAUUGAGCUCCAUUUCGAUGUAUAUGUAAAUUUUAAAAUGACAUGGUGUUUGAAUUUGUUAUUGUGUUUAGAUUUUAUGUUUUAACAUGGAACAUAAAUUUGAAAUGUAAUAGCCACCAGCUCUAGAACCCUUUUGCCCCUCCUUCAAUUACAGCUUUGUGCUGUUGCCACUGUUUUAUUGAAGUGAAGUUGAUGCAAGUGUUAUUGCUAGAUUUCUUUUGAUUAGUUUUACUGAUGAAAAUGAUAUUGCUGUUUGAAAAUAUUUUGCUAGAGGAUGUUUAGAUAUUUUUUUAUUCACCAAAUCUUGUAUCAGAUGGAGUGGAUAUAAAGGAAUGGUGAAGCUUAUUUUGGGG